CAAUAGCGUAUAUUAAAGUUGUUGCAGUUAAAAAGCUCGUAGUUGAACUUCUGGUCAAGCGUGACCUUGGCUUCGGUCGAGGCAGGCAUGGCCAUCCGUCAGAAAACCAGGGAGGGUCUUAAGUGAUCGCUCUGGGGAUCUGACACUUUACUUUGAAAAACUAGAGUGUUCAUGGCAGGCUAACGCCCUGAAUACACAAGCAUGGAAUAAUAGAAUAGGACUGGGUCCAUUUUGUUGGUUAUUGGACGCAGUGAUGAUUAAUAGGGACAGUUGGGGGCAUUAGUAUUUAAUUGUCAGAGGUGAAAUUCUUGGAUUUAUUAAAGACUGACUUAUGCGAAAGCUAUUUGCCGAAGGAUUGUUUUCUAUUGAUACAAAGAAACGUAAAGGUUAGGGGAUACAAAGAUGAUCAGA
rnacentral:rRNA from 1 species